rnacentral:rRNA from 1 species
AGGAUGAACGCUGGCGGCGUGCCUAGUACAUGCAAGUCGAGCGGUAAGGCCACUUCGGUGGUACACGAGCGGCGGACGGCUGAGUAACACGUAGGAACGUACCCCAAACUGAGGGAUAAGCACCAGAAAUGGUGUCUAAUACCGCAUGUGCUCUUCGGAGUAAAGCUACGGCGGUUUGGGAACGGCCUGCGCAAGAUUAGCUUGUUGGUGAGGUAAUAGCUCACCAAGGCGACGAUCUUUAGCUGGUCUGAGAGGAUGACCAGCCAGACUGGAACUGAGAACGGUCCAGACUCCUACGGGAGGCAGCAGUAGGGAAUUUUCCACAAUGGAC